CCUCUCCUCCCUGCUCCCUCUCUCCCAACCCUAAUUUUUUUCCUCCAAUCCCCCAUAGCCGCCUCCCCGUCCAAAGAGACUGGGCGGCUCCCAAGCAGGGGAUCCGGCAACACUGGCUUCUCCUCUUCUACGCCACCGUUGUCCACCCCUCUUCAUCUUAUGAGGGCAUGGAGGUGAGCUUCUCCGGUGGCGGCGGCGACCUGCAGCCGAAGGGCGACGGCGGCGGUGCUCGACUCAAUCUACAGGAGAGAGAGACAGAGGAUGAGAGGGAGAGAGAGAAGGAAGGAGAGGAGGAUAAAGAGAGAGGAAAUAGGAGAGGGAGGUGCGGCGGUGGACAGGAGAGGGUGGGUGGAAGGACGCCGCCGGCUCGUCGUUGUUCACACCGUGUUGGACAAAGAGGAGAGGGAUGUGCGGCGGCAGAUGGGAGAGGGUCACCGGAAGGAGCACCGCUGGCUCGUCAUCGUUCACACCGCACUGGGAAAGUGAUGCCUCUGUAUAGCCCUCACGCCCGCAGAGUACAGAAGUGGUUGCCCCUGAGGUCUCCUCCUGCUCAGCUUAUUCAUUGAGAUCAGCAGGGGGAAGGUCCAGAGUGAAAUCUUCAGGAGGGAUUUGAUGUUGCUAUUGUUUCAGUUUGCAGAUAGAGGAUGUGAUUCCAGCAAGACAGAGAUGUGGCGAUGACAAGUGAGAUUUAUGUAAGGAGUAUUAGCAUAUGCUCACAUGAUCACUGGAAGCUUAUAAAGGUAUCCUCAAUGAUUGUUGAUUUCUUAUCGACACAUAAUUGAAUUAUAAUUAUAGACAGUAAGAGUAGUUGUCUUUUCAUUUGUUAGAAAACAUAGUGUACCUUUAUAAUCGUAGCUAUAUGCAAUGAUCCAUGAUGUCUCCAGCGUGGUAUGAACGGCUCGUCGUCGUUCACACUGCGCUGGAGAAAGAGGAGAGGGAUGUGCGUCGGCAGAUGGGAGGGGGUCACCGGAAGGAGCGCCGCUGGCUUGUCAUCGUUCACACCGCACUGGGCCAGAGAUGCCUCUGUACAGCCCUCACGUCCGCAGAGUACAGAAGUGGUUGCCCCUAAGGUCUCCUCCUGCUCGGCUUAUUCAUUGAGUUUGCAGAUAGAGGAUGUGAUUCCAGCAAGACAUAGAUGUGGCGAUGACAAGUGAAAUUUAUGUUAAGGAGUAUUAGCAUAUGCUCACAGGAUUACUGGAAGCUUAUUAAGGUGGAAAUUAGCAAGCAAGCUACAGUCGGUGCAAGGAUGUCCAAGUUUACUUAUUACUUUACGAAGAUGAUGAUUCCUGCAUGUUGAUUGUGCUUCAAGGUAGAAGAGGAUGGGAGGAGGGGACGUGCGCUCUAUAUUUUAUUAUGCACACCUUUCUAAACUAUACUUGUCUUCUUAACACAUGUUCAUUGUCCAGUAGAAGCUGUAGAUUUCAGCGUACAAUACUUUCCAAAACCGCAGAAGGUGUUAUUAAUAUGGGGAGAAGAGCAGUCCAAAUGGCGGAUGGAGUAUGUGACCUGUUGAUGUUAGUUUCAUUUUCAGAAGGAACAAAUUUUCUAUAAUUUGAGUGUAUGCUGACGUGUUAAAGUCAAUCAUUUGGAUUCCCAACUCGACCAUUGUGUGUGUUCUUUAUUUUAUUGUGCAUUGAUAAAAUGUUUCAGUGCCCGUGUGCACCAAGUUGAAUUUAGAAACAGAUGAGAGGACAACACUGCAUAAGGGAGUUUGCCCUUCAGGAAGGUUCUUGUUUGCUGCUGUGAUUAAUAGUAGGAAAGUUUUAUACCUA